rnacentral:rRNA from 1 species
UCCUACGGGAGGCAGCAGUAGGGAAUCUUCCGCAAUGGGCGAAAGCCUGACGGAGCAACGCCGCGUGAGCGAAGAAGGCCUUCGGGUCGUAAAGCUCUGUUGUCAGGGAAGAACAAGUACCGGAGUAACUGCCGGUACCUUGACGGUACCUGACCAGAAAGCCCCGGCUAACUACGUGCCAGCAGCCGCGGUAAUACGUAGGGGGCGAGCGUUGUCCGGAAUCAUUGGGCGUAAAGCGCGCGCAGGCGGUCCCUUAAGUCUGAUGUGAAAUCUUGCGGCUCAACCGCAAGAGGUCAUUGGAAACUGGGGGACUUGAGUGCAGGAGAGGGAAGCGGAAUUCCAUGUGUAGCGGUGAAAUGCGUAGAGAUAUGGAGGAACACCAGUGGCGAAGGCGGCUUCCUGGCCUGUAACUGACGCUCAGGCGCGAAAGCGUGGGGAGCAAACAGGAUUAGAUACCCUGGUAGUCCACGCCGUAAACGAUGAGUGCUAGGUGUUGGAGGGGUUUACCCUUCAGUGCUGGAGCUAACGCAUUAAGCACUCCGCCUGGGGAGUACGGCCGCAAGGCUGAAACUCAAAGGAAUUGACGG